rnacentral:rRNA from 1 species
UGGGGAAUUUUGGACAAUGGGCGAAAGCCUGAUCCAGCAAUGCCGCGUGUGUGAAGAAGGCCUUCGGGUUGUAAAGCACUUUUGUCCGGAAAGAAAUCCUUGGCUCUAAUACAGUCGGGGGAUGACGGUACCGGAAGAAUAAGCACCGGCUAACUACGUGCCAGCAGCCGCGGUAAUACGUAGGGUGCAAGCGUUAAUCGGAAUUACUGGGCGUAAAAGCGUGCGCAGGCGGUUUGCUAAGACCGAUGUGAAAUCCCCGGGCUCAACCUGGGAACUGCAUUGGUGACUGGCAGGCUAGAGUAUGGCAGAGGGGGGUAGAAUUCCACGUGUAGCAGUGAAAUGCGUAGAGAUGUGGAGGAAUACCGAUGGCGAAGGCAGCCCCCUGGGCCAAUACUGACGCUCAUGCACGAAAAGCGUGGGGAGCAAAACAGGAUUAGAUACCCUGGUAGUCCACGCCCUAAAACGAUGUCAACUAGUUGUUGGGGAUUCAUUUCCUUAGUAACGUAGCUAACGCGUGAAGUUGACCGCCUGGGGAGUACGGUCGCAAGAUUAAAAA